CCUACGGGAGGCUGCAGUAGGGAAUCUUCCACAAUGGACGAAAGUCUGAUGGAGCAACGCCGCGUGAGUGAAGAAGGGUUUCGGCUCGUAAAGCUCUGUUGGUAGUGAAGAAAGAUAGAGGUAGUAACUGGCCUUUAUUUGACGGUAAUUACUUAGAAAGUCACGGCUAACUACGUGCCAGCAGCCGCGGUAAUACGUAGGUGGCAAGCGUUGUCCGGAUUUAUUGGGCGUAAAGCGAGUGCAGGCGGUUCAAUAAGUCUGAUGUGAAAGCCUUCGGCUCAACCGGAGAAUUGCAUCAGAAACUGUUGAACUGGAGUGCAGAAGAGGAGAGUGGAACUCCAUGUGUAGCGGUGGAAUGGGGAGAUAUAUGGAAGAACACCAGUGGCGAAGGCGGCUCUCUGGUCUGCAAAUGACGCUGAGGCUCGAAAGCAUGGGUAGCGAACAGGAUUAGAUACCCCAGUAGUC
rnacentral:rRNA from 1 species